ACUUGAUGAUGUGGAAAUUUAUGUAGAAGGUCCUUAAAACACUCCCAAGUCUCAAAGAAUGGCUCACCUUCUAUCUGGAAAAAAUUAGUGAUGGUCUUCCUAAGCU